rnacentral:lncRNA from 1 species
AGUUCUCAACUUGCUCCUUGGCUGUUCUCCUGACACUUAAGUCAGAGCAUUCUGUAGCUGUAUUUUACAGAACUGUAAUUGCACAGAUUGUUCCUCUUACAAGAGAAAUAUCCAGAGCUCUAAGAAAACAACUGAUGAAAACGACAUGCGUGACAUUUGGUGCUGAAGACCCAGGUCAGAGAGACUCCUUUGGGGGACCAGUCCGCUGUCCUUGCCCUCACUCUGUGAGGAGACCCACCUACGACCUCGGGUCCUCAGACCAACCAGCUCAAGGAACAUCUCACCAAUUUCAAAUCGGGACCCCACUGGAAAAUGGACUGUCCAACUCACCCGGCAGCCACUCCCAGAGCCCCUGGAACUCUGGCCCAAGGCUCUCUGACUGACUCCUUCCCAGAUCUUCUCGGCUCAGCAGCUGAAGACUGACACUGCUUGAUUGCCUGGGAAGCCUAUAGGACCAUCACAGACACUUUGGAUAACUCUUACAGUGAAGGACAAAAAAGCGCCACUGCAGGGAGGAAUGCCAGGGUCCCAUAGAGGGAGACCGACAGUGAAGUGGAGCCUGCCAUGAAUUCACCAAAGGCCAUUCUCCCUUUCUUCCAGAAGAACAGCAUUUAGCUGGGCCUAUGGCUACCUACCUAAAGACUGCACCUCUUAGUCACCCUUGUGGCCAGGUGUGGCCACGUGACAGUGGAAUUGGGCAGGAAGAACCUGUUGGACAGUAACAGAGAGAAGAGAAGAACCAUAAGAAGUGGAAUGUGAGGUGGAUUGAGAGUUUAGUGGGACCAGGAAAUCUAAGCAGGAGUGACCCCAGCAACAGAGGCACCUUAGGGUUUGCAGAAAUCAUGGGAAAGGCACUGAACUUUCCACAGUAUGUAGGAUAAGGACUUGAGUCUUUUUUUUUUUUUUUUUUUGAGACAUUGAGACAAGGUCUCUUUGUCACUCAGGCUGGAGUGCAGUGGCAUAAUCAUGGUUCACUGCAGCCUCGACUUCCUGUGCUCAAGUGAUCUUCCUGCUUCAGCCUCCCAAGUAGCUGGGACGACAGGCAGGUACUACUAUUCCCGGCUGGGUUUUUUUGUUUUUUGUUUUUUUUUUGUUUUUGAGACGGAGUCUUGCUCUUUUGCCCAGGCUGCAGUACAGUGGCAUGAUCUUGGCUCACUUCAACCUCUGCCUCUUGGGUUCAAGCGAUUCUCCUGCCUCAGCCCCCCAAGUAGCUGGGAUUACAUGCACCUGCCACCACGCCUGGCUAAAUUUUUGUAUUUUUAGUAGAGAAGGUGUUUUGCCAUGUUGGCCAGGCUGGUCUCAAACUCCUGACCUCAAGUGAUCCACCUGCCUUAGCCUCCCAAAGUGCUGGGAUUACAAGGGUGAACCACCACACCCAGCCCAUGCCCAGCUAAUCAAAAACAAAUUUUUUUUUGGUAGAGAUGGAGUCUAACUAUGUUGCCAAGGCUGGUCUCAAAUUCUUGGGCUCAAAUGAUCCUCCUGCCUCAGUCUUCCAAAGUGCUGAGAUUACAAGCAUGAGCCACCACACCUGGCUGCCAUUUUUAUUUUAACAUUAAAUGUAUACAUAUACUACCCAAGGCUGGAAGACAUAGGGACACCAAGAUGACAGUUAGUGUGUGCUUUGUAUAUGUAGGUAUGCCUCAGAGAUAUUAUGGGUUUGGGUCCAGACUACUGCAAUAAAGCAGAUAUCACAAUAACGUGAGUCACAAGAAUAUUUUUGUUUCCUUGUGCACAUAAAAUUGUGUUAUUCUACACUGUAGUCUAUUAAGUGUGCAAUAGCAUUAUGUCUUAAGAAAGCAAUGUAUAUACCUUAAUUUAAAAAAUGGUUUAUUGCUGAAAAAUUUUCAUGAUCAUCUGAGCCUUCAAUGACUUCCGUAAUCUUUUUGUGGGUAGAGUCUUGCCUUGAUGUUGAUGGUUGCUGACUAAUCAGGGUGGUGGUUGCCAAAGGAUGGGGUAGGUGUGGCAAUUCUUAAAAUAAGGCAGCAAUGAAGUUCUCUGCAUCAAUUGACUCUCCCUUUUAUGAAAGAUCUCUCCAUAGAAUGGAAUGCUGUUUGAUAGCAUUUUAUCCACCAUAGAAGUUCUUUCAAAAUUGGAGACAAUCCUCUCAAACCUGCUACUGCUUUCUGCUUUAUCAACUAAGUUGAUGUUAUCUUCUAAAUCUUCUGUUGUCAUUUCAACAUUGUACAUGGCAUCGUCACCAGGACUAGAUACCCUCUCCAGAAAGCACUUUCUUUGCUCAUCCAUAAGAAGCAACUCCUUGUCCAUUCAGGUUUUACCUUGAGAUGGCAGCAUUCAGUCACAUCUUCAGACUCUACUUUUGAUUCUAAUUUUAUUGCUAUUUCCACCUCAUCUGCUGUGACUUUCUCCAGUGAAGUCUUGAACCUCUGCAAGUCAUCCAUGAGGGUUGGAACCAACUUAUUCCAAACUCCUGCUCAUGUUGGUAUUUUGACCUCUUCCCAUGAAUCACAAAUAUUCUUAGUGGCAACCAGAAUGGUAAAUUCUUUCCAGAAUGUUUUCAAUAUACAUUGCCCAGAUUCAUCAGAGGAAUCCUUACGUGUGGCAGUUAUAGCCUUAAGAAACGUUUUUCUUAAGAAUAAGUCUUUAAAGUUGAAACUACUCCUUGAUCCAUGUGCUACAGAAUGGAUAUUAUGUUAGCAAGCAUGAAACAACAUUAAUCUCUUAGUACAUCUCCAUCAGAACUCUUGGGUGAUCAGAGGCAUUGUUAAUGAGCAGAAAUAUUUUGAAAGAAACCUUUUUUUCUGAGCAAUAGGUCUUAAAGGGUGGGCUUGACCAGGCAUGGUGGCUCAUACUUGUAACCCAAUUAUUUCAGGAGGCUGAGGCGAGAGGAUCACUUGAGCUCGGGAGUUCAAGAUCAGCCUGGACAACAUAGGGAGACCCCAUCUCUACAAAAAACUAAAAAGUAAUAAAAAUUUUUUAAAUUAAAAAAAGAGUGGGCUUAAAAUAUUCAGUAAAAGAUGCUAUAAACAGAUGUGCUGUCACGCAGGCUCUGUUGUUUCAUUUAGAGCACACAGGUAGAGUAGAUUUAGCAUCAUUCUGAAGGACCCUAGGAUUUUUUGAAUGUUCAAUGAGCAUUGGCUUCAACUUCAAAUCCCCAGCAGCAUUAUCCCCUAACAAGAGAGCCCAUCCUUUAAAACCUGGAAACCAGGCAUUAACUUCUCUCCAGCUAUGGAAGUUCUAGGUGGCAUGUUCUUCCAAUAGAAGGCUGUUUCAUCAGCAUUGAAAACCUGUUGUUUAAAGCAGCCACCUUCAUCAAUGAUCUUAGCUAGAUCUUUUGGAUAACUUGCUGCAGCUUCUGCUUUUGGAGAAAGUGCUUCACCUUGCACUUUGAUGUUAUAGAGAUGGCUUCUUUCCUUAAACCUCAUGAACCAACCUUUGCUGGCUUCAAACCUUUCUUCUGCAGCUUCCUCACCUCUCCCAGCCUUCAUGGAAUGGAAGAGAGUUAGGGCCUUGCUCUGAAUUAGGCUUUGGCUUAAGGGAGUGUUGUGGCAGGUUUGAAAUUUUAUCCUACCACUAAAACUUUCUCCAUAUCAGCAAGAAGGCUGUUUUGCUUUCUUAUCAUUUGUGUGUUCACUGGAGUAGCACUUUUAAUUUCCUUCCAGAACUUUUUCUUUGCAUUCACAACUUCACCGACCCGUGCAAGAGGCCUAGCUUUUGGCCUAUCUCAGCUUUAGACAUGCCUUCCUCACUAAGCUUAAUCAUUUCCACCUUUUGUUUAAAGUGAAAGACAAGUAACUAUUCCUUUCAGUUGAAAACUUGGAGGCCUUUGUAGGGUCAUUAAUUGACCUAACUUCAACACUGCUGUGUCUCAGAAUAGGAGACCCAAGAUCAGGGAGAGAGACAGGGAAACAGCCAGUCGGCAGAACAGUCAGAACACAUAUGACAUUUAUAAAUUAAGUUCACUAUCUUCUACGGGCAUGGAUCAUGGCACCCCAAAACAAUUACAAUAGUUACAUCAAAAAUCAUUGAUCAAAGUCUGGACAUAGUGGCUCAUACCUGUAAUCCCAGCACUUUGGGAGGCUGAGGCAAGAGGAUUACCUAAGCCCAGGAGUUCAAGAUCAGCCUGGGCAAUAAGGUGAGACCCCAUCUCUACAAAAACAGCUAAAAAAUUAGCCGGGCAUGUUGAUGUGCACCUGUGGUCCUAGCUAUUCGGGAGGCUGAGGGGAGGCUCUCCUGAGCCCAGGAAGUCAAGGCUGCAAUGAGCUGUGUUCAUGUCACUACACUCCAGCCUGGAUGACAGAGUAAGACC